rnacentral:misc_RNA from 1 species
GUGAGUGUGGGAAGCUCUCAGCCGAGCCUUUAUAUUAAAGGUAGGGUUGGAUGUGGACGUCUGCUGUAUCCCGGCUCGUCUUGAAAUGUAUCAGCCGGUCUGGCCUUGGUUUCUAAUGACGGUGUGAUAAGAUACCUCUGUGUAACACUGUGUUUUUGAAUCCAAGGGGUGGACUGCUUCUAACUGUCCCUAGGGACCAUAUUAAAG